UUGCAAUUAGAAGUUUAUUAUUAGCAAUUAUGAAUGUCUAUUGUACAAAAUAAAAAAAAUUCUUUCGAAACUUCAAUACAGAUAUGUUCAUAUAGUCUAUAUCUGUCAGAUAUAAACAGAUGUCCACUAUAAACGUUAAAUAUAUUCGUUCGCUAGUUUAGCUUACGAACACAUCUAGUAGAGAUUUGAACUCGAGCCCCCUUGAUAGGUAGCCAAUCAGUUUUUACCACUCAACCACACACAGCCACAUUUUCUUUACACAAGGACACGAUCCAAAUACAUGAGUUUGUACUUUGGUUACACACACACACAUAGAUUGUUUCUUCUUCUGAAUCAUACACACACCCGAUUUACAAAACAAACAAUACACUAUUUUACUUUUCAGUCAUUUGAACCAGUCGUCUACAAGAGACAAGAUAAUGCAUUGAAGAAACAUCUAUGUAAGUUUAUAUGACAUCGGUUAAUCAAUAUUUGACAUUCAUUCAAUGACUCAUUGACAACCGGUCAUUAAUCAGUGACAUUAUGUCAUCGAAAAUUGACAUACCGUCAUCAAUCAGUAAGAUCUGGUCAUCAAUUAUUGACAUGCGGUCAUCUCUCAUUGACAUCCGGCCAUCAAUCAUUGAAUCGGUCAUCCUAAUUGAUAUUCUGUUACUAAACAUUGACAUCCGCCCAUCAAUCACUGACAUCCUUGCAUAAUAAGUCAUUGAUGUCGGGUUAUCAACCACUUACAGGCAUGAUUUAUAUAAGCAUUGGUCAUUAUGUUAUUCAACCUACAAGACACAUUUGAAUGUAGUACAAUAUUAGACUUUUUUAACAAUCAGUGGAAUCAUAAGGCCGACAUGACGCUGGUGGUACAUAUCAUGUAAAAAUAGGGGAUGGGUUUUGAAUUAGCCCGUUUCAUCACAAAGCAUGGUAAAGCGAGAGAGAAAGAAAGAAAGAGAGAGAAGCAAUACACAAAAGAUUUAGUUGAGAUUGAUUAAAACAUUAUGUGAUAUACACCAGUAGCGUUGCAAGGUAACCAUGAGUUCGGGUUCAAUAACAUUAUUGUAGAUGAAUGUAUUGAAGACCAAAUCGAGUCGGACUGCAUGUAUUAAUACAUGUCCAAAAAGCAGGUUCAAGUAUUAGCGCAAUUAUUUUUGAUACAGUAACAACUAAGUACCAGUAGAAGAUACAUACAUUUUAUAUCUUUCCAUAUUACAAAUCAAAAAUUGUGUUUUUCUUUGGUCUCUCCCCCCCCCCCCA